GAGGGUAUAGCCCAGUGGUAGAGCAUUUGUCUAGCAUGCACCAGGUCCUGGGUUCAAUCCCCAGUACCUCCA
rnacentral:tRNA from 1 species